AGUGAACGCUGGCGGUAGGCCUAACACAUGCAAGUCGAACGGCAGCACAGUAAGAGCUUGCGGUUACGGGAGGCGAGUGGCGGACGGUUGAGGUAUACAUCGGAAUGUACUGUUUCGUUGGGGGUAACGUAGGGAGAGUUACGCUAAUACCGCAUACGACGUACGGGGGAAAGCACGGGAUCUUCGAAGCUUUCGCGAGUGAAUGAGCCGAUGUCGGAGUAGCUAGUUAGCGGGGUAAAGGCCAAACAAGGCGACGAUGCGUAGCUGGUCCGAGACGGUGUUUACACAGCUGGGUAGUGAGAAAGAGCCCAGACUCUGACGGUAGGAAGCGGUGGGGAAUCUUGGGCAAUGGGGGCAAGGCUGAUCCUACAAUAUCGCGUGAGCGAAGAAGGAGCCCGGGUUGUAAAGCCCUGAUGUUGGGAGAGAAGAGCAGCAGGUUCAUCUCCCGCUGUUCUGACGGUACCAAAAGAAUAAGCCCCGGCUAACUUCGUG
rnacentral:rRNA from 1 species